AUUGAACGCUGGCGGCAGGCCUAAAACAUGCAAGUCGAGCGGAGCGGCGGACGGGUGAGUAAUGCCUAGGAAUCUGCCUGGUAGUGGGGGAUAACGUCCGGAAACGGGAGCUAAUACCGCAUACUAUCAGAUGAGCCUAGGUGGGAUUAGGUAGUUGGGGGGGGAAAGGCCUACCAAGGCUACGAUCCGUCACUGGCCUGAGAGGAUGAUCAGUCACACUGGAACUGAGACACGGUCCAGACUCCUACGGGAGGAAGCAGUUGGGAAUAUUGGACAAUGGGCGAAAGCCUGAUCCAGCCAUGCCGCGUGUGUGAAGAAGGUCUUCGGAUUUUAAAGCACUUUAAGUUGGGAGGCGUUACCAACAGAAUAAGCACCGGCUAACUUCGUGCCAGCCGCCGCGGUAAUUC
rnacentral:rRNA from 1 species